AGAUUCCAAAGUUGUGAGGUCAUAGAAGCUUUGGUCACCUGCCAAGCCUUAGGACAGUGACCAGUGAACCAUCCCUCUGGCCCAGUUUCCUAUGGUAAAAGGGAAGUAAUAUCCUUACCAUCAGACUUGCAAAGAACUUGAAGUAACAUGUUAAUGACCUCGUUCAACAUUUAACAUUUGAAAGUAUUCUGUGUUACAAAUGGUUAAAACAUGUCGUUUCGGGAGUCAUCUUGACAUUGUUGGAGAACCAGCUGAUUUGGGUAACUGAGAGGCAUGAUUUCCACGGAGAGCUCAGUUAUAAAAGAGCCACAAUUGUCUUUGAAGGUCACCUCACUUCUUUAACACCUACCAUCAGAUAUUCUGAAUGAGAAUUAUAAUUAUCUUACUCAUCAAAAAAAAAAAUCCCUGGGAAGACAGACCUGAAAGCUGGCGGGCGAGCUUUCUUUGAGGGGAUAACAAGCAUGAUUCUAAAAUGUUGCUAUUAUAUAGCGUCUACAGCUUUUCACAUUUGUAAUGGGAAUAUGACCUUCGAUCUAACAUUCCCUGUUUGAAUGAGGAAUGCCCCCCACAGGAUCAGGUACCUGAACAGUUGGUGGCUCUGUUGGGGAGAAGAUCCAGCCUUACUGGAGGAAGAAUAGGGGUGUGCUCUGACAGAUGCCUCACACCACUUCUAGCUCACUGUGUUUGCAGUUGAAGAGGUGAUCCCUUAGCUUUGUGUCCUGGUCAUCUGCUGCCCCAACAUCAUGAACUCUCCUCCUGGAAAUACAAGCUACUUCUACAGAAAGAAUAAGGAUUCUAUGUAGAAGUGAUCCAUACUGCUGAGUCUGCAGUCUGGAACGGGAUUCAUUCACUACACAAAUCCAGUGAGAACGUGGGCAAUCAUCAUUCUGUAUCUAACAUCAACUUGAUUUCAGGAGAAGAAGCAGAAGCAGGGUGGGAAGAGGGGGAGAGGGGAGGAAGAAAAAAGAAGAAGAGAAAGAAGGAAAGAGAAAGAAGGAAAAUGAGGAGAAUAUCCUGCAAAGAGUGGAGAGAAUGAACUAAUGAUAAUACAGCUGUUUGAACAUAAGGGACUUCGUAUUCAGGAAAAUGCUAAUUAUCUGGUGGACAAAGCUUGAAGACUUUUUUUUUCUUGUCUGUGAGAAUGAAUGACAAAGCUAUUGCCAAACUCUCCCUUUCUCGACCUCCAUUGGGGCCAGAUUUUUUUAAUGUGAUAAAGGAGAAAUUGCAGCAAAA